rnacentral:rRNA from 1 species
UACGUAGGGGGCUAGCGUUGUCCGGAAUCAUUGGGCGUAAAGCGCGCGUAGGCGGCCCGGUAAGUCCGUUGUGAAAGUCAAAGGCUCAACCUUUGAAAGCCGAUGGAUACUGCCGGGCUAGAGUCCGGAAGAGGAGAGUGGAAUUCCUGGUGUAGCGGUGAAAUGCGCAGAUAUCAGGAAGAACACCUAUGGCGAAGGCAGCUCUCUGGGACGGUACUGACGCUGAGACGCGAAAGCGUGGGGAGCGAACAGG